AGCUUUGUAAGAGUGAGUGU
rnacentral:piRNA from 1 species